rnacentral:misc_RNA from 1 species
GAUGAAGAACGUAGCGAAAUGCGAUAAGUAAUGUGAAUUGCAGAAUUCAGUGAAUCAUCGAAUCUUUGAACGCACCUUGCGCCCUUUGGCCAUUCCGAAGGGCAUGCCUGUUUGAGUAUCAUGAACACCUCAACUCUUUAUGGUUUUCCAUGAUGAGCUUGGACUCUGGGGGUUUUGCUGGCUCACAGUCGGCUCCUCUAAAAUGAAUCAGCUUACCAGUGUUUGGUGGGUAUCAUGGGUGUGAUAACUAUCUACGCUUGUGGUUUUUCCACCAGGUAACCUUCAGCAGUGGAGGUUCGCUGGAGCACAUAGAUGUCUCUCCUCAGUGAGGACAGCCCUUUGAAUGUUUGAUCUCAAAUCAGGUAGGACUACCCGCUGAACUUAAGCAUAUCAAUAAGCGGAGGA